rnacentral:rRNA from 1 species
ACUGAACGCUGGCGGCAGGCUUAACACAUGCAAGUCGAGCGGAGAUGAGGUGCUUGCACCUUAUCUUAGCGGCGGACGGGUGAGUAAUGCUUAGGAAUCUGCCUAUUAGUGGGGGACAACAUUCCGAAAGGAAUGCUAAUACCGCAUACGUCCGACGGGAGAAAGCAGGGGAUCUUCGGACCUUGCUCUAAUAGAUGAGCCUAAGUCGGAUUAGCAAGUUGGUGGGGUUAAGGCCUACCAAGGCGACGAUCUGUAGCGGGUCUGAGAGGAUGAUCCGCCACACUGGGACUGAGACACGGCCCAGACUCCUACGGGAGGCAGCAGUGGGGAAUAUUGGACAAUGGGGGGAACCCUGAUCCAGCCAUGCCGCGUGUGUGAAGAAGGCCUUAUGGUUGUAAAGCACUUUAAGCGAGGAGGAGGCUACUGAGACUAAUACUCUUGGAUAGUGGACGUUACUCGCAGAAUAAGCACCGGCUAACUCUGUGCCAGCCGCCGCAGUAACAC